rnacentral:rRNA from 1 species
GUUUUAUGAGCACUUACGUUUCCUCGGUGGGUUCGCCCACCGAUUGGACCACUUAAACCCUUUGCAGUUUUGCAAUCAGCGUCUGAAAAACUUAAUAGUUACAACUUUCAACAACGGAUCUCUUGGUUCUGGCAUCGAUGAAGAACGCAGCGAAAUGCGAUAAGUAGUGUGAAUUGCAGAAUUCAGUGAAUCAUCGAAUCUUUGAACGCACAUUGCGCCCCUUGGUAUUCCAUGGGGCAUGCCUGUUCGAGCGUCAUUUGUACCUUCAAGCUUUGCUUGGUGUUGGGUGUUUGUCUCGCCUUUGCGUGUAGACUCGCCUUAAAACAAUUGGCAGCCGGCGUAUUGAUUUCGGAGCGCAGUACAUCUCGCGCUUUGCACUCAUAACGACGACGUCCAAAAGUACAUUUU